UACGGAGGGUGCGAGCGUUGUCCGGAAUCAUUGGGCGUAAAGGGCGCGUAGGUGGCCCCUCAAGCGUGCGGUGAAAGUCAGGGGCUCAACCCCUGAUCGGCCGUGCGAACUGGGGAGCUUGAGCACUGUAGAGGCAGGCGGAAUUCCGGGUGUAGCGGUGGAAUGCGUAGAUAUGCGGAGGAACACCGAUGGCGAAGGCAAUCCCCUGGGCCUGCACUGACGCUCAUGCACGAAAGCGUGGGGAGCAAACAGG
rnacentral:rRNA from 1 species